GAUGAACGCUGGCGGCGUGCCUAAUACAUGCAAGUCGAGCGAACAGACGAGGAGCUUUCUCCUCUGACGUUAGCGGCUGACGGGUGAGUAACACGUGGAUAACCUACCUAUAUUUCUUGGAUAACUUCGGGAAACCGGUGCUACUACCGGCUAAUAUAUUGAACCGCAUAGUUCAAUAGUUAUAGACGGUUUUUCUGUCUCUUAUAGAUGGAUCCGCGCCGCAUUAGCUAGUUGGUAAGGUAACGGCCUACCAAGGCAACGAUGCGUAGCGGACAGGAGAGGGGGAUCGGCCAAACGGGAACUGAGACACGGUCCAGACUCCUACGGGAGGCAGCAGUAGGGAAUGUUCCGCAAUGGGCGAAAGCGUGACGGAGCAACGCCGCGUGAGAGAAAAAGGACUUCGGAUCGUAAAAAUCUGUUAUUAGGGAAGAACAAAUGUGUAAGUAAAUAUGCACGUCUUGACGGUACCUAAUCAGAAAGCCACGGCUAACUACGUG
rnacentral:rRNA from 1 species